rnacentral:rRNA from 1 species
GACGAACGCUGGCGGCGUGCCUAAUACAUGCAAGUAGAACGCUGAAGGAGGAGCUUGCUUCUCCGGAUGAGUUGCGAACGGGUGAGUAACGCGUAGGUAACCUGCCUGGUAGCGGGGGAUAACUAUUGGAAACGAUAGCUAAUACCGCAUAACAGUAGAUGUUGCAUGACAUUUGCUUAAAAGUUGCAAUUGCAUCACUACCAGAUGGACCUGCGUUGUAUUAGCUAGUUGGUGAGGUAACGGCUCACCAAGGCGACGAUACAUAGCCGACCUGAGAGGGGGAUCGGCCACACUGGGACUGAGACACGGCCCAGACUCCUACGGGAGGCAGCAGUAGGGAAUCUUCGGCAAUGGACGGAAGUCUGACCGAGCAACGCCGCGUGAGUGAAGAAGGUUUUCGGAUCGUAAAGCUCUGUUGUAAGAGAAGAACGAGUGUGAGAGUGGAAAGUUCACACUGUGACGGUAUCUUACCAGAAAGGGACGGCUAACUACGUG